UGUUGUCAUAAAACGGUAUAUAGGGCCUUGCAUAAAACCUUUAACAUUUAUCAGGCCGAAGAAACCUCCAUCCUCCGGUCAGUGAGGGCCGCGGGCGGCUGCGAAAGCUCUCGGCACCGGACGACCGCAGCUCGUCCUCUAGCGGUGCAGCUCGGCGUGGCCCGGGGACUCGAGUGUGACCAAACGGCGCCGGUAUUUCACGAGAGCACCGCCCACCGCCCACGGUCCACUUUAGCGCGCCAUCGGCGCCGCCAGACGUGCAGGCUUUGCUACGAGCUGUACGAGGUGCAGCACCAGUGCCAGCAGUGUGGCAAAUGUUUUAAGAUCCUGAAGUCGGCGACGAGCACCAGGCCUCCUGCUGGCAGACCAGCAAGACGAGCUCCGGGCCGCAAUGUCCACAGCCUGGGCCGUCGAGGCGGCCUGGUAGGGCAAGGUGGAGCGAGCAGUAUAUCCAUUAUCCAGCUGUUUCUCAACUCCAUGGAGACCCGGUACCAGCGCUUCAGAUGACGAGAAGCCUCAAGAGGGCAUCUUGGCGCGAGGCGACCUUCUCGGAGUGGCGGCCGAGGAAGCCAGUGCUCUCUGGAACUCCAACAGGAGGAGCCGGGGCCACCGUGAAACCUACUGACGACAUAUAGGUGACUCUAAAAAUAUUUGAACCGGCAGAACAGUCACUGCCCCAACAGUGAUCUACCGCGAAAGGACAAAGCGAAUAA